rnacentral:antisense_RNA from 1 species
CUUGACCGAGCCGAGCAGCAGCGGGCGCUCGACGUCCCGGUCCCGCCCGUAGGUGGCCAGCAGCGCCUGCGCCUC